rnacentral:rRNA from 1 species
CCUACGGGAGGCAGCAGUGAGGAAUAUUGGUCAAUGGACGCAAGUCUGAACCAGCCAAGCCGCGUGAAGGAAGACGGCUCUAUGAGUUGUAAACUUCUUUUGUACAAGAGUAAACGCAGAUACGUGUGUCUUUCUGAAAGUAUCGUACGAAUAAGGAUCGGCUAACUCCGUGCCAGCAGCCGCGGUAAUACGGAGGAUUCAAGCGUUAUCCGGAUUUAUUGGGUUUAAAGGGUGCGUAGGCGGUUGGAUAAGUUAGAGGUGAAAUCCCGAGGCUCAACCGUGGAAUUGCCUUUGAUACUGUCAGGCUAGAGAGUAGUUGAGGUAGGCGGAAUGCAUGGUGUAGCGGUGAAAUGCUUAGAGAUCAUACAGAACACCGAUUGCGAAGGCAGCUUACCAAGCUAUGUCUGACGUUGAGGCACGAAAGCGUGGGGAGCAAACAGGAUUAGAUACCCCGGUAGUC